rnacentral:rRNA from 1 species
CCUACGGGAGGCAGCAGUGAGGAAUAUUGGACAAUGGGCGCAAGCCUGAUCCAGCCAUGCCGCGUGCAGGAAGACGGUCCUAUGGAUUGUAAACUGCUUUUGUACAGGAAGAAACAUCCCGACGUGUCGGGACUUGACGGUACUGUAAGAAUAAGGAUCGGCUAACUCCGUGCCAGCAGCCGCGGUAAUACGGAGGAUCCAAGCGUUAUCCGGAAUCAUUGGGUUUAAAGGGUCCGUAGGCGGUUUAAUAAGUCAGUGGUGAAAUCUGGUCGCUCAACGAUCAAACGGCCAUUGAUACUGUUAGACUUGAAUUAUAAGGAAGUAACUAGAAUAUGUAGUGUAGCGGUGAAAUGCUUAGAUAUUACAUGGAAUACCAAUUGCGAAGGCAGGUUACUACUUAUGGAUUGACGCUGAUGGACGAAAGCGUGGGGAGCGAACAGGAUUAGAUACCCUGGUAGUCCACGCCGUAAACGAUGGAUACUAGCUGUUGGGAUUUAUCUCAGUGGCUAAGCGAAAGUGAUAAGUAUCCACCUGGGGAGUACGUUCGCAAGAAUGAAACUUAAAUGAAAUUGACGG